GUUGUAGCAAAGCUAAUUCAGGAGUGCUUAUUGAGAAACUAAACUCCUCAUUCCAAACAGGUACCCACUGGUCUUCAACGGGGAUCGUUCUUCUCGUCACUGUAUCCUCUCGGACUCCGACGAUUCUGAUCUAUAAUCGAUGAUCCUACAAGUCAGAAGGGGAACUGGAAAUGAAACUAGCUUACUUUCUGCAUCAAGAAUUCUACAUCAUGUCCACUGUGGAAAGCAAUUUCAGAAGAAGAGGUGAUAAUCCAAGUGUGAAUCUUUCAGAUUGGUCUGAAAAGUAAAGAGAAGAAAGAGAGAGAACCCCUUGGGAGGGAGAGAAAGCAAGAUUAAGGUCCCCAAGAAGAUAACGGAAGAAAUCUUCGAGGUGAAGGCCUCUUCUCUGAAAGAUAUUGAGGUG